GACGAACGCUGGCGGCGUGCCUAAUACAUGCCAGUUGAGCGCUGACGGUUGGUACUUGUACCAACUGGAUGAGCAGCGAACGGGUGAGUAACGCGUGGGGAAUCUGCCUUUGAGCGGGGGACAACAUUUGGAAACGAAUGCUAAUACCGCAUAAAAACUUUAAACACAAGAUUUAAGUUUGAAAGAUGCAAUUGCAUCACUCAAAGAUGAUCCCGCGUUGUAUUAGCUAGUUGGUGAGGUAAAGGCUCACCAAGGCGAUGAUACAUAGCCGACCUGGGAGGGUGAACGGCCACAUUUGGACUGGGACACGGCCCAAGCUCCUACGGGAGGCAGCAGGAGGGAAUCUUCGGCAAUGGACGAAAGUCUGACCGGGCAACGCCGCGUGAGUGAAGAAGGGUUUCGGAUCGUAAAACUCUGUUGGUAGAGAAGAACGUUGGUGAGAGUGGAAAGCUCAUCAAGUGACGGUAACUACCCAGAAAGGGACGGCUAACUACGUG
rnacentral:rRNA from 1 species